rnacentral:rRNA from 1 species
UACGUAGGGUGCAAGCGUUAAUCGGAAUUACUGGGCGUAAAGCGUGCGCAGGCGGUUAUGUAAGACAGAUGGGAAAUGCCCGGGCUUAACCUGGGAACUGCAUUUGUGACUGCAUGGCUAGAGUUUGGCAGAGGGGGGUAGAAUUCCACGUGUAGCAGUGAAAUGCGUAGAUAUGCGGAGGAACACCGAUGGCGAAGGCAAUCCCCUGGACCUGUACUGACGCUCAUGCACGAAAGCGUGGGGAGCAAACAGG